rnacentral:lncRNA from 1 species
GCGGCUGUCAGUGAGGCGUCUUCUCCCAGGUGCAGGGACGGGGGUGCACAUGGGGGAGGGGGAGGGGCCCAGGGUCCCCUGCCCCGGAAACUCCUGCCCGGAAGGCACCGACAUUUCUUAGAAUCAGUCCAUAGACCAGGCUUCGGAAUCCUAGUCCAACUCGGCAGUUUACUAACGCUAACUUAUCCAGGCGGCAAAGAUGCUCUGUAUCUAUCUCCAUCUGUUCAGGGCUUUGGAAUUUUCUCUCGGCAAUAUUUGGUACCUAGGAUAACACUGAGGCCUGUGGGCUAGAUUCCACACAUGGCCUGUGUUUGUAAGACCCCAGAGCUAAGAACCGUGCUGGCAACUUUAGUUGUAACACCCCUGCACGCGCGCGCACACACACACACACACAGAGAGAGAGAGAGAGAGAGAGACAGAGAGAGACACAUAUGUGACAGAGAUCUGUCAUCCACAAAGCUAUAAUAUAUAUGUAUUAUCGGGCUUUUUUCGAGAAAGUUUGAAGCCACUGCUCUAUGGUUUUGGGACUCUAGGUCUUCCACGGCUUUUGCCAAUUUGUUUGUAAGUACUCGAUGGGGUUUGUGAAUUUCAUUUUUCAAUGGUCCAUUGGUGGUUUUCAGGAAAUACUCUAUAUGAUCUUGUGGCCUGGGACCUUGCGAAAAUCACCUCACUUCUGAUAGUUUCUCUGUAGGUUCCUUAAGAUUUUCUACAAUAUAUAAUGUGUCCUAUGAAUCAUGAUUUUAUGAAUAGAGCUAGUUUUCCUUCCCUUUCAAUCUGCACGCCUGGUAUUUCUCUUUCUUACUUUUACCUUUGCACAGAGCAACAGCUGUCAGCACGGCAUCGUCAGGCUGUUCUUUCCAAUGAAGACGCACCGCCGACCACACAGCUGUCUGUGAAUGGCCCCGCGGGUACAAGAACAGGCGAUACACGGCAGGUGGGUGCAGGGUCUCAAGCCUUACCCAAGGGCACCCACAUCACUUACAGUAAUUCCGUAGACCGGCUGUCAGGGUCCUGACUGAAAAUGACAACUUACCAAUAUUUCCCAGUGACAAGUGUGAUGUGUGCAUAUACACAUAUAUUGUGCAAUGGGCCGUAUACACGUGGUGGUCUUGGCUGGUACACAGACAAAACAAUUGCCUGUUGUGUAUUGGCCUUUAUACUGGAAACUCAAUUCAUUGCUCAAUUCAUUGCGUGCUUCUUGAUAGUUUCUUUGUACGUGCCUUUGGAUUUUCUACAUGGGCAAUCGUGUUCUAUGCCUAAAGGCACUUUUCCUUCUUUUUUUUUUUGAGUUUAUAGAUUUAAUCUGAGAGAGAGAGAGAGAGAGUGCAACUGGGGAGGGGCAGAGAGAGAAUCCCAAGCAGGCUGUGCACUAUUGGCACAGAAUUGGAUCCCACGACCGUGGCAUCAUGACCUGGGCCCACAUCAACUGUCUGAUGCUUAACGGACUGAGCCACUCAGGUGCCCCUGUAAUUUUCUUCUCUUUUGCGAUUUGGACCUAGAAUGACUUAGCAAACUUUCCUUCUCUCCUUUCUGAAAGGAUUUGUGUCACAUUGGUAAAAUAAUGUCAUUUUAGGUUGCAUAGAGUUCAUCCGGGGGGAAAGAAAACCCUUGGAGGUGGAAAUUGGUUCCUUGAAAGGUGUUUAUGAUCUCUUGUUAUCAUUUUCCUGUCUUGCAGAUGGCCAGUCAGACCCCCUUUUAUAUUGGUAGUAUUGCUAAUUUGAAUUUUCUGAUUUCUUUUGCAGUCUAAGUAGGUGUUUAUAAAUUUUCAUCAACCUUGUAAAAAUUCCUCCUUUAGCUUAGUUUUCAGGACUGUGUAAUCUCUAUUUCUACUCUUAGUUUUAUUAUUUCUUCAUUUCCAGUUCGUUUGGAUUUAAUAUACGCUAGCUCCUCUUAGGACGGAAUCUUGAACCAUUGUUUUUGAUUAUUCUUGUUUUUUAAUAUAGACACUUAAAGCUGCAAAAUUCUCUGAAGCAUUCUGCUUAGCUGUGUUAUUUAUUUCACACAGUUUUAUUUGGUCUCCUUUAAUUAUCAUUCAGUUUAAAAUAUUUCCUGGGGCACCUGGGUGGCUCAGUGGGUUAAGUGUCCGACUUCGGCUCAGGUCAUGAUCUCACGGUCCUGAGUCCCAGCCCCAUGCUGGGCUCUGUGCUGCCAGCUCAGAGCCUGGAGCCUGCUUCAGAUUCGGUGUCUCCCUCUCUCUCUGCCCCUCCCCAUCUCGCACUCUGUCUCUGUCUCUUUCUCUCUCUCUCUCAAAAAUGAAUAAACAUUAAAAAAAAUGAAAAUUUUUUUUCCAAUUUUCCUUAUUUUUCUUUGACACAUUCGUGAUGAAAAAGUGUGUUUUGUAUUCUUUCUGAAUAUUUGAGAAUUCUUACUCAUAUUAUUAUUGAUUCUACUUUAAUUAUAUUGUAGUCGCAGAAAACAUUCUACCUGGUGUCCACUGGGUCAUGAUUGCUUUUCCUUCCCUGACUUUUCUUUUUUUUUUUAUUUUUUUUUCAACAUUUAUUUAUUUUUGGGACAGAGAGAGACAGAGCAUGAACGGGGGAGGGGCAGAGAGAGAGGGAGACACAGAAUCGGAAACAGGCUCCAGGCUCUGAGCCAUCAGCCCAGAGCCCGACGCGGGGCUCGAACUCACGGACCGCGAGAUCGUGACCUGGCUGAAGUCGGAUGCUUAACCGACUGCGCCACCCAGGCGCCCCGUCCUUCCCUGACUUUUCAUGUGGUAUUUCCCCAGCCUGAUAGUAAUCCGUGUCUACCUGGCCACUUCCUUCUUCUUCUUGAGGUGUAACUGAUGUCCCAUCCAUCCCAGACUUCGUUUUACGUCCUUCCUACCUGCUCCGAAACCCCCACCACUGCCCCUCCCGUGUGAUAUUCGGUUGAUUCAUCCGACUCUCACCAUAUUGUACAUUCCUGUGCAGCAAGGGACACCUGUAAACUCUGUAUCACUAGGGUCAACCGCGAUGUGUAGGACAGAGUCACCACCAAACAAAUGUUUAAUAACAUAUACGUAAGAGACUGAGGGACAUGCCGGCGUUUUUUUCUUUCCCCCAUCUUAAGCUGGUUUCCGUGGGUUGGAAAUGUGUUAGAAAAGAUUCUGUUUUCAGCAGUAAAGUCUAGUGGCCACACAGCAUGACACUAAGGUGAGCCAAGCUUGAGUGACUUUGUAUAUCUUGCAGUUUGAUAGUUCUGUGGGUCAGAGGAGGGGAAGCCUUGUCGGUUUUCCAAAUAGAACUUAUGCAGUUGUUUAACCUGAAAAGACAACCAUUUCUGAUUCUUUAAAGCAGCAUGAGCGCAAUGUCUGUAUGUUGACCCCCGACUUAAAUUUUACAAAAUUAUAAAGCAGGCAUGAGUCUUCCUGUUUCCCGCCAAGCCCGUGCUCACUGUGCAAAGUGUGAACGCGUGGGGAUUAUUGGCAGAGUCAAAAUUUAAGGAAGACUCAUGUCUAAGUGAGUCCAAGAUUCUAAAUGCUUCCAAGACUAUUUCUAAAUGACUAAAGUUGAACAGUGUGGUUUGUUUGGUGAGGGUGACGUGGCCUCCAGUGGGGGCAGGUAUUCGGAGAAGCACAGGAGGAAGAGGAGAGAGAGAGUCUCCUCCGUCUGCACCUGGCUUUCUCUUGGGCUGCUGUCCCUCACACUCACCACACAGACUUCGGAGGGCAGCUCAUGCUGUCAGUAGUGGGGCACCUCCACCCCCUGUUUCCUGGGCCCCGGAGCUUUGCAGACUCACCCCAUCGCCACCUCAACCCAUCGCCACCUCUACAGGUCAGUUCUUCCUCCCUCGUUGAGUUAAAGCCGCCAAAUACGUAAGCGGAGGACAAAUGGACAAGAACGACGUAUGUGUAAGGAUAUUAUAUCUGGGAAAGAAGGUAAGGACCCGUUGAAGCCAAUGGGUAAGAGGAGAGGGACAGCUGUAGGCAGCAGUGGGUGUCCUGCCAGUUUUGAGACUAUGGCCUAGAGCUGGAUUCUUCCAAGCCAACAGUCGAAACCAGAGUGUUGCACGCUUGAUAUUCAUAGAUCUCUCCCUUCUCUCCACAGUGGACCUUUCAAGGCAGUGUGUUGACCUCUGGCCAGUCUCAGCGGAAUCCACAAUCUUUGAUACCUACACAAACACUGAGCUGGUGGGGCUCCCGCUUGCUCUAGGGAAAUGAAACAGGUUAAGAUUGUUUGAUAUAACUAGUUGGGCCUGAGACCGUUCCCAGCACAGAAAAUCCAUUAGGCGGGGACGAUGGUUGCCCGCCAUUUGGAGAGGAGGAUUUUGCUUCCUGGUUGCCGAGAUCCUAUUCUUGCCCAAGAAGACAAUGAUUGGGUUGCUGCCCCCACGCUUGUGUCCCCAAGGAAUCCCUGGGCAGGUGACAAGGAUACCCCAAAGCAAGGCUGCUCCUGGCCGGACCCACUGAAGAGGCACAUAU